rnacentral:rRNA from 1 species
GACGUAGGGCGCGAGCGUUGUCCGGAUUUAUUGGGCGUAAAGAGCUCGUAGGCGGCUUGUCGCGUCGACUGUGAAAACCCGCGGCUCAACUGCGGGCCUGCAGCCGAUACGGGCAGGCUAGAGUUCGGUAGGGGAGACUGGAAUUCCUGGUGUAGCGGUGAAAUGCGUAGAUAUCUGGAGGAACACCGGUGGCGAAGGCGGCAUCCUGGACCGGCAUUGACGCUGAGGCGCGAAAGCCAGGGGAGCAAAGCGGG